rnacentral:rRNA from 1 species
UACGGAGGGUGCGAGCGUUGUCCGGAAUCACUGGGCGUAAAGGGCGCGUAGGCGGCGCGGGGAGUCAACGGUGAAAGCUCGGCGCUCAACGCCGAGUCGGCCGUCGAUACUCCCCGUGCUCGAGCACUGUAGCAGGCAGGUGGAAUUCCGGGUGUAGCGGUGGAAUGCGUAGAGAUCCGGAAGAACACCGGGUGGCGAAGGCGGCCUGACUG